GAGGAGAGGGAGGGCAAUAACAGUUUAUUUUAUUUACAAGUAUAUUUUCCGUUUCGUUAAAAAAAUUACGAAGGGCGAAAACAGAUAUGGCGACGGCAUCGGAGAGCGCAAGAGGAGGUGACAAAACGGCGAAGGCAGUCGUCGCCGAUCAGAUAUCGCAGGCUGUUAAUUCUACUGCUAACCUUCUCCAUCUGAUGCGUCAAUCUUCUUCUGCUCAGGCCCAGUUGGCAAAGCUCCCAAAGAAUCUUUUGGCCAAAGCUUCUUUAACUAAGGCCACUGGACAAUCGUUGGCGCAGCUUCCUCAAGUGAUUUCAUCUCUGGAUGCCCAUAUAGAAAGCGGCUUGAACAGUGGGGUUCAUUUAAACACAGUAACCCAGUUACUUGAAAACAUGGAAAGCACGCAGCUUCGUGCUCUUCGACAAUCUAACUUAUCCCCUGUGGUGGACAACAAUCAAUCUCCAGAGCAGAGUUGAACAUUUCAGACAAAUGUUUCCUCAGUAGUAGUACAUAUGUUCAUCUCCAAUAAAUUUCUUCAUAAGAUGUGCACUUUUCCGUGUUGUCGAUGGCCAAUAUUGAUGAUGUGAACCAGUCUACUUGUAUAGCGGGCCAAAAGGAACCCACAAACGAAUAGUCUUUUGUUGAAUCCCAAGUGGCAUGAAAACUGCUCAGAAACAAGUGGCAUUAAAGAAUCAGACAAGCAAUGAGAUUAUUUAGAAUUUGUGUUUGGACUCUUCUCGCUAGUCGACACGUCCUCCUGUUCAGCCUGCUUUGCACACUCAACUACAGGUUAUAUUAUAUCCGAAUUGCCGUCAAUUGAAAUAUAUAGCUAAACAAAAUACGAGGAACUUCUUCAAAAUGAUCAUAAAAUGAUCUUUUAGAAGCUUUACCAUUUGUCGCAUAAAAAAAGAAGAAGAAGCUUUACCAUUUUGAUCAAAUGAAAAAUAUUGUUGUACUUGUAGCAUGUUGAGAAAAAUAAUAAAAAAUAGUAAAAUCUCCAAGUUUUAGAUAUAAUAGAAUCUUUUGAUCGGAUCAAAUUUAUAACGUGUAUGAAAUUUUAUUAUAUUAAAUUUACCACUAUUUUGUAUA